rnacentral:misc_RNA from 1 species
AAUAAUAGCCACAGACAGAGGCAUUUCAAGAUUAUAACGCAUCCAGAUUCUAAUUCAAGAAUACAAUGCCCUCCUUAACACCUGGCACAAACCUCCAAUAGUUAACAGACUACCAUUACCCAAUUGACCAAGCAUUGAGACAUCUCGUUAGAAGUUGAGUUUGAGGCAAAGGAUGCAUAUCCAGUGGAGGUAUACCGCACGUAUGGCAAAGCUGCAACUGGACCUCGAGAUCUGGACAGCGGCUGGGGCUAGGUUCCG